rnacentral:rRNA from 1 species
UAACACGUGGGCAACCUGCCCUGAAGCGGGGAUAACAUCUGGAAACAGGUGCUAAUACCGCAUAACAACGAAAACCACAUGGUUUUCGUUUCAAAGAUGGUUUCGGCUAUCACUUCAGGAUGGGCCCGCGGUGCAUUAGCUAGUUGGUAAGGUAACGGCUUACCAAGGCGAUGAUGCAUAGCCGAGUUGAGAGACUGAUCGGCCACAAUGGAACUGAGACACGGUCCAUACUCCUACGGGAGGCAGCAGUG